UGCUAGUUGUACGAGUUCAGACUCGUAGCAGAUAGCUCAGUAACACGUGGCCAAACUACCCUAUGGACGCGGAUAACCUCGGGAAACUGAGGCUAAUCCGUGAUACCGUUCGCUGCCUGGAGUGGCGCGAACGCGAAACGUUACGGCGCCAUAGGAUGUGGCUGCGGCCGAUUAGGUAGACGGUGGGGUAACGGCCCACCGUGCCAAUAAUCGGUACGGGUUGUGAGAGCAAGAGCCCGGAGACGGUAUCUGAGACAAGAUACCGGGCCCUACGGGGCGCAGCAGGCGCGAAACCUUUACACUGCACGCGAGUGCGAUAAGGGGACUCCAAGUGCGAGGGCAUAUAGUCCUCGCUUUUCACGACCGUAAGGAGGUCGUAGAAUAAGUGCUGGGCAAGACCGGUGCCAGCCGCCGCGGUAAUACCGGCAGCACGAGUGAUGACCGCUCUUAUUGGGCCUAAAGCGUCCGUAGCUGGCCACGCAAGUCUAUCGGGAAAUCCGCGCGCUUAACGCGCGGGCGUCCGGUGGAAACUGCGUGGCUUGGGACCGGAAGAUCCAGAGGGUACGUCCGGGGUAGGAGUGAAAUCCCGUAAUCCUGGACGGACCACCGGUGGCGAAAGCGCUCUGGAAAAGACGGAUCCGACGGUGAGGGACGAAAGCUCGGGUCACGAACCGGAUUAGAUACCCGGGUAGUCCGAGCUGUAAACGAUGUCUGCUAGGUGUGCCACAGGCUACGAGCCUGUGGUGUGCCGUAGGGAAGCCGUGAAGCAGACCGCCUGGGAAGUACGUCCGCAAGGAUGAAACUUAA
rnacentral:rRNA from 1 species